GCUGCUGCUUAUGUUUUUUUCCCCUCUACAAAUGGAGUCACCCUGUGCUUAUUUCUAUUACCGCGUCUUCUGAAUUUCCCUCCUUUUGUGUUUCAACAUAACGUGUAGGUACUAUCGGGGUUAUCAUGGUGUAAAACUCUGAGAAUACCUGUUGUGUGAUGAGUGUUUCUCUUUUUAACCAUGAUUGAUUGAUUUCCCUCUUCAUUAGCUAACCUAUGCGUGUUUUAUGUACUUAUUCUCUCUUGUACUCCUAUACUAUCGUUCUGGUGUUGUUAUUUGUUUUAACUAAUAAGGAAAUAUAAGUCAACUAGUAUGAAACUGACUAGCAUUUGACCCUAAAACUCUUUUCAAAACCAGUAUCAAAAAUCUAUGUCCAGAUGCACGAGCUAUAUAUAGUCAGCCAUCUUGAUUUCCUGCAGCUACUAGUUCAGUUUCCAAAAUAAUUUCUGCUUUGUAGUCACUCUAAUAGAGAAACAGGACAAACAUUUCCAAGAUGUAUUGCUUCUUCUGUUUCUUUGCUAUGGUAGUUUUUGCCUUGUGCUUAAAGGAGAAAAUGAACUUUUAAUUUCUACGACAAUGGUUUUUCCAGUUUAGAUCAUAUUGAGGAGUUUGUCAUUCUGAGAUGAACUAUUUUUGAGUCAGAGUUGUAGUUCUGAAAGCCUCUCAAAAUUGCCAAAAAGGGGAGAAUUGUCCCUUUUACACCACUUGCUUUGACACCUUUUUCAUUUGAGAUACUGCCUGUCCAUAUGAAUGAGGUGGAGGGAUACCUUUUGUCAAAUCUCAUAGUAGUUUAUAUUCUAGCAAAAAAACUACAGUAGGAAUCUAUGCCGUUAUGCAACAAUGUGUCUGAUAUUUAAGAAUCCUUUUAGGAAAAAUGACAUUUUAUAGCCGCUAUAAAAAUAAUAGCCGAAAAAAUGUAUAAAAUUUAUAUAUAUAUAUAUACAUUUUGUAUGUUAUAUACAAAAAUUAUACAAGUUUAUACACUUUUUCGGUUACCAGACGUAAAUAGUUUCUGGUGCGGGAUAAAAGUGAUAAUACCCCAUCCUUUUAUCUAGAAUACCUUCUACAUGGUGUAUCCAAGGUACAAUAAGUUUUCCACCCCUUCCCCACUUAAUCAAUGGUAAACUAAAAGUUACAGGUAUCAGAUAAUCGCGGUAAACUCCCCAAAAGAAAAGGAAAUAAUAAUAGUCCAAAAAUAACAAUUAUGAGGCAAAGCGUUUUACCCCCAGCCCCGCCCCACCCCGGAUUUUUGAACUGUAUGUUAACUCCUAUGUGGAAAAAAUGCCUGAAGCCUCCUUUGGUUUUGAAAACCAUGUAUUUCCCCCCUACAAUCUCAUAGCAUUCGUUUUUUCUUUAAAAACUUGAUUGAAGAUGUCCAGAAUAUCCUCAUUUCUGCAUUUAAAAAAUCUAUGUAAUAGAAUGUAUACUUGGCAACUUAUCACUGGUUUCUCAAUCUCAAAGUAGCAUGACCAUAAGGUUUUUGAUAAGCUUAUUUAUAUAUUAAUUAUGAAUUUAUCUAGUUUAAUUGCAAUUUUGUUUUGUGAUGUCGCAAGUUAAUGUAGUUAUUUGCAUUCUGUUUCAAAACAUGGUCUAUCAAAAUAAUCCAAAAAAAAUUAGCUGCUAUAAAGUAGAGAGGGGGUAUGCUUCUAUUCUUAUUUAGAAUAAUGAACUAAGGCCUACUUUCUGUGGGAAAUUAUUGACUCGAGAUCAACAAUGUUCGAACCUGCAAUGAAGUAAAAAUUUGUUUCAAUUAUCUGGUAGAAAGUAUGUUUAACAGUCAAGAUGAAACAAAUCUGGCACAUAUCGAUCUCUAGUCAAAGAGAAAAGUCUUACUCCUAUGUAAAACACAGAUGUUAUCUGUGACUUCUCAAAGAUCAGAGGACUGAGAUUAGACCUUUUAACAACUGUUCAGUCCUAUGCUAGUAAAAGCUUGAGGAGUACACUAAGGUUGGAAUCUUUGGAUAUGCCAAAAAGAGAAGUGUAAUUUGUUGAAAAAAUCAAUAUAUAGUGUGAUUGAAUCAACUUAGAAAUUUGCAACAAAUAGAAUAAGCAGGUGGCUUUCCUUAUUUUUCUUUCCUUUUUUUUUUUGUGGGUGAUGAAAUGUUCCAAAUGAUAAAAAGAUAGAUGCAGGAGAAGUAUCUUCUCAUCUUAUAUUUAGAUAAGAGACCUUAGCUAAUGCAAGAUUAGUGGUCAUGACUUUAUAUUCUGGAUAUGUUUUCUUCUUUUCUGAGUCAAAUGUGGGCGCUUGUGUGUGCAUAGCUGUGAAUUAGAACAAUUGUCCGUCUAAGGAGAGCGUUUAUAACAGUAAUAUGCUGAGCACUUGCAUACUUUUGAUCAGAAUAGAAUUUUCUUGUCUUAUUCUCUUUGCUUUUUUAAGGUCUGAUAAGCAAAUGGCUGGUAAAAGGAGAAUUCCAAAGAGGAAAUUAAGAUAUGCAGAAUCAGCAUGUCUUUUUGAGGAAUGUUUUCUAGCUUUCUAGUGGUUGGUGGUCAUAAAACAUAAAGAUCUUUCACUGGUGUCUAAUUCGUGGUGUAAAUAAGAAGCCCAAGUUUGAUAAGAAUAUGUAUUAAGGUAGUUUGGUUCAUGUACUAGUUAUGCUGACAUUAUCCGUAAGGAUUGUUAAUAAUAAUAUUGAAAUUAUAUACUAUUGGGUGAAUAAUAAAUAAUAUAGGGAAUGCUAUGUAUGGAUGACCUGCUUUAGGGACAUUUUUAAAGUAUCAACAUCCCUUUGUAAUAUAAUGCCAUGAAUUCUUAUGUUC